GCACCUGUUUCAGAUGUCAGUGGUUAUAACUGAUCACUCCUGCUCUUGUUGAGACAAAAUGUCGGCUUCCUUGCUGUGAAGAUGGGGUUGCCUUGAGGAUUCAGCAGUAUCGUUUCUGUGUAUCUGGGGAAAUACCAAGCUUCUGAAACAGAGACCCCGUCAUACAGUGGCUUCAAUGAGAGCGGUUCCUCUCUCUCUCAUCCGAGCCUGGUCAGUGGACAGGCCUCACCAGGUCACUCCGGGACCCCCGUCCCCCAGAGAAGACAGGAGCCACUCACACAGAGGUGAUGGAUUCAGACAAUCCACCGGCCUGACUCCUGAGGAUCCUCACCCUGCAGGUCCUCAUCACGUGGAGUGAGAGGGAAACAGACUCAAAAGGCAGACACAGACAAUGAGCAAGGAAAACGGCUCUGGUGGAAUUUCUCUUCUGGAGUUUGUUUAUGUGAACCGUACAACUUGUUUACCAUGUGUAGACAGAUGCCUCUGGGAGAAAUCUAAAGAUGCACGUGUGUGUUUACAUGCAUCAUCCGUGCUAAGAAAGCAAACAGAUGCAGGCACCUCUCCCCUUGCUUUAUCUUCUAACUGGACAAAAAUAAAUAAGAACGAUUCCAUAGGAAACCAAAUAAUACUAUGGCUAAAAGGUUAAAUGUACCAAACUCCGUCGAGUCACCGAGAUAACUCGCGCCCCAUGUUUUUGCCACUGGACGUUGUGACGCUUAGCCUGCACACAGGUGCACGCCCAUUUCGGUGUCUCUACGUGCUGUCACAACAGGCUGCCUCACAUUUGCUGUUGAAACGUGUCCAGGAUGAUUUCGGUGUUUACACUUUGAGCCAUAACUUUGCAGGAAGUAUGCUUCCCCAAUUCCGUCCCCAAAUCUCUGCCCCAAAUUAAAAACAGUGGGGAAUUAGUACCGAAAUAGCGUGGGCACUGGCAUGAUCACAUCUACUCCAAAGUGCAGUGGGGGAGUCAAAAACAUUCGAUUCCUUAUUAACGAGACG